UUCCGGGGCGGAUCGGAAGUUGCUUUGUUUUGCUUCAAGAUGGCUGCUGGGAUGUAUUUGGAACAUUAUCUGGACAUCUGGGAAAGUCAAAUUCUGGGCUGCGCUUUGAAGAAUGAGCAGAAAUUGAGUGGGCGAGUAGGUAUUGAAAACCUCCCGUUUGAAUUACAGAGAAACUUUCAGCUCAUGAGGGACCUAGACCAAAGGACAGAGGACCUGAAGGCUGAAAUUGACAAGUUGGCCACUGAAUAUAUGAGUAGCGCCCGCAGCCUGAGCUCCGAGGAAAAACUGACCCUUCUCAGACAGAUCCAGGAGGCCUAUGGCAAGUGCAAGGAAUUUGGUGACGACAAGGUGCAGCUUGCCAUGCAGACCUAUGAGAUGGUGGACAAACAUAUCCGGCGGCUGGACACAGACCUGGCCCGUUUUGAGGCUGAUCUGAAGGAGAAACAGAUCGAGUCAAGUGACUAUGACAGCUCUUCUAGCAAAGGCAAAAAGAAAGGCCGGACCCAAAAGGAGAAAAAAGCCGCCCGUGCCCGUUCCAAAGGGAAAAACUCAGAUGAAGAAACCCCCAAGGCUGCCCAGAAGAAGCUAAAACUUGUGCGCACAAGUCCUGAGUAUGGGAUGCCCUCAGUGGCCUUUGGCAGUGUCCACCCCUCUGAUGUGUUGGAUAUGCCUGUGGAUCCCAACGAACCCACAUAUUGCCUUUGUCACCAGGUCUCCUAUGGAGAGAUGAUUGGCUGUGACAACCCAGAUGUGAGAACUGUUUGCCUCAGGAUUGGGGGAGGAGCUCUGAGGGGCGUAAGGGCAUGAGCAAGGAGGAGUGUUCCAUCGAGUGGUUCCACUUCGCCUGUGUGGGGCUGACAACCAAGCCUCGAGGGAAAUGGUUUUGCCCACGCUGCUCCCAAGAACGAAAAAAGAAAUAGGUUUCCUUGGAUUCCAUCCCAGAUUUCUUCCAAAUCCCCUUGACCUGGGCUAGUGACAGAGAGGAAUGCCUCUGCUGGGGACUGGGGGUCCAGGGAGAUGUCGACAGUGCAGUACCGUCAUCCCUUCUCCCUCUCCCUACUCCUGGUGCUGAGGCUGCAUCCAUACCCCGGUAGGGAGGGUGCCACAGCCAGUGACGGUAUGUGCUCUCGCCCCACCCUCUCCUUCAGAGGGAAGUACCCCCUCACUGUCUUUUGCCUCCAUGGUGAGGCUGGUGCUGUAUUUCAGAGGGAGGGACCUCUUCAUUCCCCUCGCUUUGUAUUUAAGGGCUGGGGCAGUGGAGUGGGGCACUCUCCCAGUCUCCUCUACCCUUCCUUCCCCUACCGGGGCUAGGUAGGGUAAACUUCUUCAUUCUCUUUCCCUUUUCCAUGGUGAGGGAUCUUCUAGAUCAUUUGGGCUCUGGCCUAGUUGAGUGAUUACCCCUUCCUCUGUGACCCGGGGAUUUAUCCUGACUUUGAAUGGAAGAGGGGCAAGGUGGAACACAGAUAACUCACAUGUAAAAGGAAUUGGGGUAGGUAAAUAAAAGCUAUCCACGCUAGCCUGCUGUGUUUAUUGUAGAGCCUGUUUCCGCACAUGUGAUAAACAUUCUUUUUGCAUUCCCUGGAUUGGAUGAGAGGCAGGAGGAUGGCUUGCCGGAAGUAGGCCAAGACAUGAAACCCAAAAUGGUACUUGUCCUGUGAUAUCUACAACUUGUCCCCCUGAAGGGGUGUCUUGCAUUGGGGGACUCAGAACUUUGUAAUUAUGCAUCUGCUCUCCAUGAAGCACUUUUCACCUGAUUCCAAUAAAUCAUGUAUUUGUGUUAUGUA